ensembl:lncRNA
UCGCUUAAACUUCUUGAUUAAUAUCAUCCUUUACAGGUCAGCGGUCACGCCUCUUUCUUUCACUCGGCACGGCGGCAGUCGCUGGAGCCUGCAGGACGCUUGACAGCUCAGCAAUGGCCCUGCCAACUUUAUCCUCAGAUGAGCUGAUCCAAACAUGACAGAAGUUGAAGCACAGAAAUUCAGAGGGUGAACACAACACACCAUACCCAAUUGUCCAGGUGACCCAAGAAGACUGGAAGUCCACAUUUGAGGGACGAAGCUCCUGUUCCCUGAAGGUAGACAGGGUCGAGGUGUGUGAAGGCAUGAAGGUAGAGAAAGCCAUGAUCUCCUCAUUUUAUUCAUAUUUUUGUUUUCAAUCUUGAAUACCAACCCAAAAACAAG